UGGUUCUGGCAUCGAUGAAGAACGCAGCGAAAUGCGAUAAGUAAUGUGAAUUGCAGAAUUCAGUGAAUCAUCGAAUCUUUGAACGCACAUUGCGCCCUUUGGUAUUCCGAGGGGCACGCCUGUUCGAGCGUCAUUUAAACAAUCAAGCCCUGCUUGGUCUUGGACGCGGUCAAGUGACCUGUCCGUAACUCGUUGGCGGUGCAGUCCGGCUUCAAGCGUAGCAAAAAUUUCGCUUCAGGAGUCCGCGGCGGUACCCGCCAGGUAACUUGUACCCAAAGUUUGACCUCGGAUCAGGUGAGGAUACCCGCUGA
rnacentral:misc_RNA from 1 species